GACGAACGCUGGCGGCGUGCUUAACACAUGCAAGUCGAACGGAAAGGCCCUGCUUUUGUGGGGUGCUCGAGUGGCGAACGGGUGAGUAACACGUGAGUAACCUGCCCUUGACUUUGGGAUAACUUCAGGAAACUGGGGCUAAUACCGGAUAGGAGCUCCUGCUGCAUGGUGGGGGUUGGAAAGUUUCGGCGGUUGGGGAUGGACUCGCGGCUUAUCAGCUUGUUGGUGGGGUAGUGGCUUACCAAGGCCUUGACGGGUAGCCGGCCUGAGAGGGUGACCGGCCACAUUGGGACUGAGAUACGGCCCAGACUCCUACGGGAGGCAGCAGUGGGGAAUAUUGCACAAUGGGCGGAAGCCUGAUGCAGCAACGCCGCGUGCGGGAUGACGGCCUUCGGGUUGUAAACCGCUUUCGCCUGUGACGAAGCGUGAGUGACGGUAAUGGGUAAAGAAGCACCGGCUAACUACAUG
rnacentral:rRNA from 1 species